ensembl:snRNA U1 U1 spliceosomal RNA
AUUCUUACUGGAAGGGGAGAUACCAUGGUCACGUAGGCGGUCUUCCCAGGGCAAGGCUUAUCCAUUGUACUGCACAUGUGCUGACCCCUGCAAUUUCCCCAAAGGUGGGAAAUUCGUUUGCAUAAUUUGUGGUAGUUGGGGACUGUGUUCAUGCUGCUCCCUU